AACGAACGCUGGCGGCGUGCUUAACACAUGCAAGUCGAACGGAAAGGCCCUGCUUUUGUGGGGUGCUCGAGUGGCGAACGGGUGAGUAACCCGUGAGUAACCUGCCCUUGACUUUGGGGUAACUUCAGGACACUGGGGCUCAUACCGGCUAGGAGCUCCUGCUGCAUGGUGGGGGUUGGAAAGUUUCGGCGGUUGGGGAUGGAAUCGCGUCUUAUCAGCUUGUUGGUGGGGUAGUGGCUUACCAAGGCUUUGACCGGUAGCCGGCCUGAGAGGGUGACCGGCCACAUUGGGACUGAGAUACGGCCCAGACUCCUACGGGAGGCAGCGGUGGGGAAUAUUGCACAAUGGGCGGAAGCCUGAUGCAGCAACGCCGCGUGCGGGAUGACGGCCUUCGGGUUGGAAACCGCUGUCGCCUGUGACGAAGCGUGAGUGACGGUAAUGGGUAAAGAAGCACCGGCUAACUACGUG
rnacentral:rRNA from 1 species